CAGGCUUCUAUGGCCUUCUCUGCUGUAUUUGCUUGAUUGUAAUGUUACUGUCCCAUGUCUUUUUUCAUAUUCACAGAGGUACACUAAAAAUCCUGGAGAGGGAUUGAGAAGCCAGGUGCAAUGGUCGUGAUGUGGGACUCUCACUUUCACAGGAGCAGAGCGAGGUGUCUGUUUCACCUGCAGGUAGACUGUACUCACUCAGGCACUUCUGGAACCUCUCCGACCUCUUCAAGACCAAAUAAGUGAAGCCGAAGACGAUGAUAAUC